GUGGGGAAUAUUGGGCAAUGGGCGAAAGCCUGACCCAGCAACGCCGCGUGAAGGAAGAAGGUUUUCGGAUCGUAAACUUCUAUCCUUGGUGAAGAUAAUGACGGUAGCCAAGAAGGAAGCCCCGGCUAACUACGUGCCAGCAGCCGCGGUAAUACGUAGGGGGCAAGCGUUGUCCGGAAUGAUUGGGCGUAAAGGGCGCGUAGGCGGCCUGGUAAGUCUGGAGUGAAAGUCCUGCUUUUAAGGUGGGAAUUGCUUUGGAUACUGUCGGGCUUGAGUGCAGGAGAGGUAAGUGGAAUUCCCGGUGUAGCGGUGAAAUGCGUAGAGAUCGGGAGGAACACCAGUGGCGAAGGCGACUUACUGGACUGUAACUGACGCUGAGGCGCGAAAGUGUGGGGAGCAAACAGGAUUAGAUACCCUUGUAGUCC
rnacentral:rRNA from 1 species